AUGGGGGCGGGCGGGAAGGGCUGGCCGGAGACGGCGAGCCGCGGGGUGAGGACGGCCUGGUUCAUGGUGGUCAUGGUGGCGUCGCUGCUCGUCGCGUCGGCGCCCGUCGUGGUGGCCGCCGGCGACGUGGCCGUCACGCUCUGGCUCGAGGCGCGCCUCGGCUGCCCGCGCUGCCGCGGCCUCCGGGACCACCUCCGGGGGUACGCCUUCCGGAGCUCGCUCGUGGACAUACCGCUCCUCUCCGUCCUUCGCUCCUUCGCCAUCACCUGCGUAUACCUCGUGUGUGAUACUUCUGGUCUCUCUCACGGCCCGUACCUUGGAACCACAACCUUCUGUUCCUUGGCUUCGCUGCUCAUCUUGCUCAUGAAGGCCUGCGUUUACAGUCCAGCUCAGGACAUUGGGCCUGAGCUCUCGCCGUCAUUGGCGGACCACAGGCUAAAUAUGAAGAAGCUAUGGGGAAUGCCUGCGCUUUUCCUGUCAUCCUUGAUCUUUGCUCUCGGCCAUUUUGUUGUCGCUUACAGAACGAGCUGCAGGGCUCGACGAAAGCUGCUCAUCCAUCGCAUUGACCCUGAAUCGAUUCUGGCUUACAAGAAUGCCUUUCCUGGAUGCUACAAGGUUCCUCGGUCGCCCACUCCGCACAGUGCGAAACUUUAUUCAAGGAGCGAGAGCGAGACAAAGAGAAAAACUCUUGUGCACGAUGACAGGGAUAUUCCAAUCAGUUUUCUUGCUGAUAGUGAUAGCAUGUUCACUGCUUGCCAGGGGAUCACUGUACACUACAAAAUGUCUGAUCCAUCAAGUUGCAUACCUCCAGCUCCUGAAUUGUUUCCAGAAACUAAUCAUGAUGCUGUUUCGUCAAGCAUUUCUCCUAGAAGACAGAGGCAUGAGAGCCCACCAACAGCUUCCUCGAGUACCCGUCGUCUUUUGCAUAGGAGCUUUAGUCAUCAGUACCACCAAACAUCGUUAUAUGCACCAUUGUUGGUAGAACCGCUGACCUCUCCAACGGUGUCAGAUGGCAUCCCCUUUCUCAGUCUCGACGACGACAGCUUACAGGUGUGUUCGAGACCUAUGGGCUUUGAUCUCGAGGCUGGAGAGCACGGGAAAUUUGCUGUUGUUUUGGUCCAUGGGUUUGGAGGGGGAGUAUUUGCAUGGAGACAUGUUAGUAAUUUGCUUGCUCGACAAGUGGGUUGCACUGUGCUGGCCUUUGAUCGCCCUGGAUGGGGGUUAACAUCUCGACCUCGCAGAAAGGACUGGGAAGACAAGAAUUUGCCAAACCCGUACGAGCUUGAGUCACAGGUUGAUCUUCUGAUUUCAUUUUGCUUAGACAUGGGCUUGGGCUCGGUCAUUUUAGUUGGUCAUGAUGAUGGCGGCUUGCUGGCACUGAGGACCGCAGAAAAGUUACGUGCUUCUGGAGAUUCUAGGAAGGUUGAAGUGAAGGGAGUUGUUCUUAUAGGCGUAAGCUUAUCAAGAGAAGUGAUUCCUGCAUUUGCUCGUAUACUCCUGCAUACUCCUCUGAGGAAAAAGCACAUGGUGCGCCCACUUCUACGUACUGAAAUCACUCAGGUGAUCAAUCGACGAGCAUGGUUUGAUGCUACCAAGUUGACAACAGAUGUUCUUAAUCUUUACAAGGCUCCACUAUAUGUCGAGGGCUGGGACGAAGCACUCCAUGAAGUAGGCCGUCUUUCAUUUUCCACCGUCCUAUCAUCAAAAAGAGCAACGGAACUACUAAGAUCGGUGGAAGACCUCCCUGUUUUGGUGGUAGCAGGCUCUGAGGAUGCUCUUGUUUCUCUGAAGUCAGCACAAACUAUGGCUUCAGAACUUGUAAAUUCUAGGCUAGUAACUAUAUCAGGAUGUGGUCAUCUGCCACACGAAGAAUGUGCCAAUGCAUUGCUCUCAGCUCUUUCUCCGUUCAUCUCAAAAUUGGUAUCAUCAGAUGAUUCAUUGCAAAGAUUGUAG
rnacentral:rRNA from 1 species